GACGAACGCUGGCGGCGUGCUUAACACAUGCAAGUCGAACGCUGAAGACCUGGCUUUUGUUGGGUUGGAUGAGUGGCGAACGGGUGAGUAACACGUGAGUAACCUGCCCCCUUCUUUGGGAUAACGCCCGGAAACGGGUGCUAAUACUGGAUAUUCACUGGCCUUCGCAUGGGGGUUGGUGGAAAGGUUUGUUCUGGUGGGGGAUGGGCUCGCGGCCUAUCAGCUUGUUGGUGGGGUGAUGGCCUACCAAGGCUUUGACGGGUAGCCGGCCUGAGAGGGUGACCGGUCACAUUGGGACUGAGAUACGGCCCAGACUCCUACGGGAGGCAGCAGUGGGGAAUAUUGCACAAUGGGCGAAAGCCUGAUGCAGCGACGCCGCGUGAGGGAUGGAGGCCUUCGGGUUGUAAACCUCUUUCGCUCAUGGUCAAGCCGCAACUGUGGGUUGUGGUGAGGGUAGUGGGUAAAGAAGCGCCGGCUAACUACGUGCCAGCAGCCGCGGUAAUACGUAGGGCGCGAGCGUUGUCCGGAAUUAUUGGGCAUAAAGGGCUUGUAGGCGGUUGGUCGCGUCUGCCGCGAAAUCCUCUGGCUUAACUGGGGGCGUGCGGUGGGUACGGGCUGACUUGAGUGCGGUAGGGGAGACUGGAACUCCUGGUGUAGCGGUGGAAUGCGCAGAUAUCAGGAAGAACACCGGUGGCGAAGGCGGGUCUCUGGGCCGUUACUGACGCUGAGGAGCGAAAGCGUGGGGAGCGAACAGG
rnacentral:rRNA from 1 species